rnacentral:rRNA from 1 species
AGGGUUCGAUUCUGGCUCAGGAUGAACGCUGGCGGCGUGCUUAACACAUGCAAGUCGAACGGGAUCCCUGGCGCUUGCGCCGGGGUGAGAGUGGCGAACGGGUGAGUAAUGCGUGACCAACCUGCCCCAUGCACCGGAAUAGCUCCUGGAAACGGGUGGUAAUGCCGGAUGCUCCAGAUGACCGCAUGGGAUUCUGGGAAAGCUUUUGCGGCAUGGGAUGGGGUCGCGUCCUAUCAGCUUGUUGGUGGGGUGAUGGCCCACCAAGGCUUCGACGGGUAGCCGGCCUGAGAGGGCGACCGGCCACAUUGGGACUGAGAUACGGCCCAG